rfam:Triticum aestivum genome assembly, contig: Triticum_aestivum_CS42_TGACv1_scaffold_000633_1AL
AAUCUACUCCCUCCGUUCCAAAUUACUUGUCGCAGAAAUGGAUGUAUCUAGAAUUAAAAUACAUCUAGAUACAACCAUACAUGCGACAAGUAAUUCGGAACGGAGGGAGUAGUGC